UCGAACGCGAAAGGCCCCUUCGGGGGCCGAGUAGAGUGGCGUCCGGGUGAGUAACACGUAGGUAAUCUACCUCUGGGUGGGGAAUGACAGCCAGAAACGGCUGCUAAUACCGCAUAAUGCAGCGGCACCACAUGGUGACAGUUGUUAAAGCGGGGGAUCUUCGGACCUCGCGCCUAGAGAGGAGCCUGCGGCGGAUUAGCUAGUUGGUGGGGUAAUGGCUCACCAAGGCAACGAUCCGUAGCCGGCCUGAGAGGGCGGUCGGCCACACUGGCACUGACAUACGGGCCAGACUCCUACGGGAGGCAGCAGUCGGGAAUUUUGGGCAAUGGGCGAAAGCCUGACCCAGCAACGCCGCGUGGAGGAUGAAGUUUCUCGGAAUGUAAACUCCGUAAGAAUGGGACGAAUAAGGAGGGGUUAACACCCCCUUCGAUGACGGUACCAUUCGUAAGCUCCGGCUAACUCCGUGCCAGCAGCCGCGGUAAUACGGGGGGAGCAAGCGUUG
rnacentral:rRNA from 1 species